ACGGGGGCAUGUCUCUCUUGCUCUAGUUAUUUAUAAUCUUUGAUUUCGAUAGACUGAGAUGCACAAAAAUACCAUUGUUACUAUUCAUCUUCUUCUUCCUUUGUUGGGCACUACGUCUCCAAAUUGAGUGAAGUGUAGUGUGCAUACUUCGCUUGAUUGCUCAUUCUUCUCUUUUUCUGCUGUAUUCUCUUCCUGACCUUUUGUCAAACAGUUUGUGUGCGUUAGUUUCUGGUAUGCAGAUUUCUUCUUCUUUUAUCGUGUGAUUUCAGUGUUCCAGUAGAGCUCUUGGUAGAGGCGAAUUGGCAGCAGAGUUGGAACGUGAGUGUACCAACCUAACAUCUAC
rnacentral:lncRNA from 1 species